rnacentral:rRNA from 1 species
UACAGAGGUGGCAAGCGUUGUUCGGAAUUACUGGGCGUAAAGGGCGCGUAGGCGGCCUUCUAAGUCAGACGUGAAAUCCCCAGGCUUAACUUGGGAACUGCGUCUGAUACUGGGAGGCUUGAGUGCGGGAGAGGGAUGUGGAAUUCCAGGUGUAGCGGUGAAAUGCGUAGAUAUCUGGAGGAACACCGGUGGCGAAGGCGGCAUCGUGGACCGACACUGACGCUGAGGCGCGAAAGCGUGGGGAGCGAACAGG